rnacentral:rRNA from 1 species
UACAGAGGUCUCAAGCGUUGUUCGGAUUCAUUGGGCGUAAAGGGUGUGCAGGUGGCGCGCUAAGUCGGGUGUGAAAUUUCGGAGCUUAACUCCGAAACUGCAUUCGAUACUGGCGUGCUUGAGGACUGGAGAGGAGACUGGAAUUCAUGGUGUAGCAGUGAAAUGCGUAGAGAUCAUGAGGAAGACCAGUGGCGAAGGCGGGUCUCUGGACAGUUCCUGACACUGAGGGACGAAAGCUAGGGGAGCGAAUGGG